GAUUGGCCGUUGGCACUCGGCUCGAAUUGGUAACAAGUAAGCAACAUUUCUCUUGGCCACGCAGCCUGCUGAUAGCUGCCAUGGACGACGAUGUCUGCGCAGCGCUUACAAAACUUUUCGGAUUAGAAAUGAUUUCUUAUGGAGCCUAUUAUCU